AGUUGCCAGCAUCUGUGAGAAGAGGAAAUUUUAAGUUGAGACUCGUUUUGGGCCUUUCGCGGUUCGGCUCACCUUGACAGCCUCGUAAACAGCAUUGAGAUCUUCGUUUAUAAUGGCUUUUUUUAUUUCACUCAAAUCAUGGUCUACGUUGUUAUCGGGCAGAGUAGAUCUGUGUUUGGCACUGAUACUAAGAGUUACAGCAACGCAAUCGAGCACGAGAGUUCUAAAGACUGGUUCAGGGUCACAACUUCUCGACAAAAUGUUGCCGAGUAAUUUUCCUAUUUCUAGUUUACCUCCAGGUCAUUUCGAACCUGAGUGUUGAGCGCAGGGUGAGAAGUGCAGCUUUUCGUUCAAAGUAUGAGCCUGACCGCAUCCAGGGUAGAAGAGAAUCGCUGAGCUCUGCAAGUGCAUCGGCAGAGUCGGAAACCACUUCGCCGCACACCGUGCCUAGUCCGUCUAAAACGCGUUGUAUUUCCGGUGGUAGAAGCAGCGAAUUUAUCUGGUACGAGACACCAUAGUUUUUUGAAGUUAGCGGAUGGCGACAUAUUUAUUACUUAGGUAAAAAAUUCAUUGCUAACCUCUGAACUAGCUGCCAGCAUUUUUUGAAUCAACGUACUGAGCAGAACUUCGCGUUCAUCCGGACUUAGAAGCGGGGGUAAUCUUCUUUUUAUGACAAAAAUUGUGUCAAGGAUUGAAUUAGGAAUUUUCAGAGGCUGAAAACGAACUAGCUUUGCACUUCGAAAGGAUACAUGAGCGAGAUGACAGCUUUCAAUAUGUACGGGUACAACUGGAGAGGCUUGUGCCCUGAAGGUGUCUGAAGAAGUGCAAGAACCGAAGCUAAAGCAGGGCCUCUCAUCCGAAAGCCAGAACUAUCCGGUAAUCUGCUUGAAUGUGCAGCAUUUCCUA
rnacentral:misc_RNA from 1 species